ensembl:lncRNA
UUCCUAACUCCCAACAGGACACGUCUUCUGCAGCCCAUGGACCAGCAAGAAGCUGCACACAAAGGCGCUCUUCACCAGGUGUUUUAAUGUCACUGAAGAGACAUCCUUGACUUUGAAAGAAACCUUUCAAUGUCUUGCACCGCAUCAACCUCAUUGACAGAGCUUGGGAAGAUGUCACACACUGGACCGUAACUCAGCUUGGAGGAAACCAUGGCCAGAAUGUGUUGCUGAACGUGACUUUGAAGGGUCUGAUGCACAGACAGGAGGUUGUGUCUGUGGGCAAGAGGGUCAGGACAUCAAUGGUACAGAUGAGGAGUGAGGAACUUGUUGAGGAGCAUAUGAUGGGAGAACUUGCUGAACUCCAGCGUGAGCAUCGGAAGGUGCUUGUUGAGGAGCAUUCCACUGAGGGAGAGGAAGGCAGGGAGGAGGUUAGCAGUGAUGGGAUAAAAUCCACUAUGGAAAAUGGAAUGAGUGCCAGGGUUUCUUGGCACCACCCCAACGUAGCUGUAAUGAACAGAGUGUUGAAUCUGAUGAACGAUAGCAUGGUCUCUCCUUUCUGGAAAGUUAUGCAGCAACAGAUUUUCCAUUGAAGUUGACUCUGUAGCUAAGAAGAGAGGAAACUCCUGAAGGAGAUCUCCCCGAUGUCCUUAUGGAGGGGACUCUCCCUCCAAACAGUGACCCUCCUACCUUUCCAUCCUCCAUGACAGAAGUCACCUCAAGCAAGAUUUGGACAGCAAAUUGCCUUUCUGCAGUUGUGUUAUGGCUACCAUUGCAAUUAAGAAAUGGAAAAUGAACUUCUGAGAUCCAAUGCAGUCGGCUUUCAUCAGCCUCAGAACCAUGUAUGGAAAGAAAACAAAAUACAGAUGUAAGAGGAUGGCAAAAAGAGAAAACCCAGCAAAAGCACUCAGAAGUGGUGCAAGAACCCUGGGUGAAAACCAACUUUGGGAAAAUAGCAGCGGAAGACAUCUGCCAUCCGUGAACAGGCAGUGGUUUAGUUGGCUUCAUACCUGUGUUCCCUCAUUUAUUUUGAGUAAAGAAAAAAAUCAGUAUUUCUCUUUUGUGAAAUGUUUGGGAAUUAGAAAAAAAUGUUUGUUGAAGUAUAAGAAGAAAAAUGCUGGGGCCGGGGGUUUAGCUCAGUGGUUUCGCCGCCUGCUCCACAAGCGCAAGGACGCAAGUUCAAUCCCCGGUACCAAAAAAACCAAAAAACCAAAAAAAAGAAAAGUGCUUCAGGAAUUGUGCCAGGCAUUCUUAAU